CAUCAUGGUUUAUAGUCCGUAACAAAUACAAAUACAGAAAGGAACCACAACAAUAUGACCUGCCAGCCUACCUUCUGGGGCUCUGCCUGAUGAACUUGCAUUUUUACUGCAUGGGGCAGAAGCAAAGGGAACACACUCUGUUGUUACCCCCUUGUAAGACCAGACCAUGGGUUCCUAGUCUCAUCUUUGACCACAUCAUCACCACCAUCUAUCAUCACAACCAAUCUCAAUUGGGAAAUGCAGUCAUUUAGGAAAUGUGCAGCUACUUGAAAUUUUUUAGGUACACUUUAGUUUCCCACCUUAGAGAAAGAUGGUGUGGCAUGAGAGAUAUCACAACUACGCAUGAUUGAAAGCUUUCUCUUGUCUCAACCACAGAUGGUGUGCAUAUGCAGAUUGGUGAUUUUCUAAUCAAUACAGUGGCACUUGGGAAUAUCUGUGAGGUUAGCAAGACAGCUGAUGAUGCUGUUUUACACCUAGAGGUCUUAUGGAACCAGAACUGCAUCCAGAAGCGGAACAAACAAUUUUGGGGGAUGGUUUAAUAAAUGCCUUUGGUAGGACUUGUCUCAUGUUCAUUAAAAAGUCUAGGCAACAGAGACUUCCUUCCAGGUUGCCCAUUGCUAAGAUGACUCUGCUCCUCACAUGAGAUAUUUACCAGCAAAAUUAGAUUCUUCUAGUCAACCUCAACUUUAAAGAUAUAAGUAUACUUGCAUUUUUUAAAUUAAAGAUUUGUUUUGAAGAAGGUGAGAGGAAAGAAUCGUCAACCUUGAUCAUCUCUUCUGAGCCAAGAUGUUUAACUCACAGCAGCAGCCAUUAAAGUUAGGAGAAAGACAUGAAUAAGAAGGAAAUGCAUACAUCCCGAUCUCACUGUAAAAAUGUUCUCAAACUAUCAUGUCCCUAACAAAUAAAUAUACCUUUAAUGAAA